CUGUGAGUGCAUAGGGGAGAGUGGGCAAAAUGCCACCCUACCUCAAUCUGACCAUGACUACUCUCCUGCUCAAACAGGAAGUACCAGUGAUAGGAAUGUAUCCAAACCAAAAAUAACAUGGAUUACAGGCAACAUCCGUGCUGGACUAAAGGCUAGAGCUACCCCUUACAAGGAACAGGAUAUGGACAUGGGCGCAUACAAGAAAUCCCGCUACGACAUCAGACGAGACAACAAACAUGUAAAAGGCCAGUAUAGGACUACGGUGCAAUCCUAUUACAUAGGCUCCGACACUCGUCGAAUGUGGCAGGGCUUGCAGACGUUAACGGAUUACAAAAGGGAAACCCAACCAUGAGUUGCCCAGUGAUGCAGAACUCCCAAACGAGCUAAAUGGCUUUUAUGCUUGCUUCGAGGAAUAUAACACUGUGCCUUGCGUGAAAGACCCUGUUUUUCAGAAUGACUGUGUAAUCUCGCUCUCCGUGGCCGAUAUGAGCAAAACGUUUAAAAAAGCUUAACAGUCACAAGGCCGCCGUCAUUCUCAAAGCAUGCGAAGACCAGCUGGCAAGUGUCUUCAGACAUUUUCAAUCUCCCAACAUGUUUCAAGAUGACCAUCAUUUUGUCCUUGUUCCCAAGAGCCCCAAGGAAGAAGCUUACUGAACAGUCUGAAGAAAGCAUCGAGGUGUCAGAAUUCACAGUCAAAGACAGGUAAAUGAGACAAAAUCAAUUUGUCUGACCUCAUUGGAACCUUGGGUAAGACCCCCAGUGCCUUAAUGAAGACGAAGAAGCAGCUGAAGAACCUUCAACACAACCAGAGCACCCUGGAAACACCCCUGACCAGGAAGUAGACAGAAUGGAUCCAAAGAGAAGUGGCUUUUGAGAAAACGUCAAAAGAGGUGUCCUGCUGGCAGAGUGUGGUCCUACAGAACCAGAAGGCAUAGCAGCUGGUCUUCCCACUGAACCAGGAGCCCUCUGGCCCAAAACGCAUAGAGCAGGACCCAAACCUUCCUAGAACAAGAGAUAUUCAGCCUCCUGCACAUGAACAAGCAGCCUCUCCAUGACCCUGUUCUGACACCCACUGAGGAGGCUUCUCUGAGGGCCAUGAGUCUGGAGGAGUCCCACCUCAAGCAUCCAGCAUGGGGUCAUAUGCAUAAGAUAAGCUAAAUCUGGUGUGUCAGUGCUGGGCAAGGGGAAAGACCUGCACACACUACUGCCCUUUACUUUAUUUUAUAUGUGCACUAAAGGACAAUGUACUGGAAAAUCAACAAUGCACAAGGGUUUUUCUAGAUGGUUAUUGAUGGUCUCACUUACCUACAACCAAUAUAUAAAACUUUAUUUUUUUUGUCAGGCUAAGAUCCGCCAUGCAGAUCUCCAAAAAGCCAGAGCUCUAUAGUCUUAUCAUGAAGCGAAAGUCAAAAGGGAAAUAAAAAUUAAAAACCGGGGCAUAUCCUUCCAUUAUAGUGUACAGUUGACCAGGGCAUAUCCUCCCAUGAGUGACUCAGCAGUAAUCCGCUUCAAAAGAUCAUCUCUUUAUUCAAGGCUCCCAAUUCACUCUCUUCCUCCACCUGCCCUCUUUGUACAUAGUGCCGGAUUAUUAUUUUAAGCCCAUUUUCUCCCCAAUUUUGUGAUUACGAUCUUGUCUCAUCGCUGCAGCUCCUCAACGACCAAACUACAGAGGCAUGCUUUUGGCGGCCCGAUCGGCAGCCAGCACUAAUGCUUUAGGAAGUUGGCAACUUGUCCUACAGAUUCCAAAUUCCUGCAGGUACGUUAUUUGCUUCCUGUGUGAACUCAGCCCAAAUGUUCAGGGAAUGCGCAAGGUGUCAUCACCCAUGCCCCAAUAAUAACGUGAAGGACAACACUACUGUGUUUACCUGGAUGCAUGCCACCCAACACCACCAGCACGGUUUAAUUUAUGUUAGAACUUAAGAACACCAAAUCUAAUAUUUCAACCUUUGUGAAUCUAUGAAACUAGAUGAUCCAUUUUUGUCUGCACUUAUUACACAAAUUAUAUGAAAUGUCAUUGAAUGUAAUGUAUGAUAAGAAUUCAAAGAAAAGAGAUACAUUUACCAUUAAAUGAUAAUGAUAUGACAAAUUAUAACAAGUGUGUAAAUAAAUCUGUUUCCAUCACACAGCUUGAAUAACAUCACUGAAAGGCAAGCUUUCAUAAAUCUGCAUUACCCUUUUUUCAGAGCCAGUGGAGGCUCCUCAGAGGAGGAAGGGGAGGAUGUGAAAUUUCAUAAAAAUAGCGAAACAUUAAAAACUAACCUAAAUAUAUUCAUAUGUCACCAAAUCAUUUGUUAAAAUAGAACAGCAGUGUCUGGGCUAGCACCAUGGUUUGGCUGUAGGACAGCUAGCUUCCGUCCUCCUCUGGCUACAUUGACUUCAAUACAAAACUUAGGAGGCUGGUAGGCCUCGCCCCCUUCCGUAGACAUACAAGUAUUUGAUACACUGCCGAUUUUGCAGGCUUUAAUACUUACAAAGCAUGUAGAGGUCUGUAAUUGUUAUCAUAGGUACACUUCACCCGUGAGAGACG